GAUGAACGCUGGCGGCGUGCCUAAUACAUGCCAGUCGAGCGAACGGACGAGAAGCUUGCUUCUCUGAUGUUAGCGGCGGACGGGUGAGUAAAACGUGGAUAACCUACCUAUAAGACUGGGAUAACUUCGGGAAACAGGAGCUAAAACAGGAUAAUAUUUUGAACCGCAGGGUUCAAAAGAGAAAGACGGUCUUGCUGUCACUUAUAGAUGGAUCCGCGCUGCAUUAGCUAGUUGGUAAGGUAACGGCCUACCAAGGGAACGAUGCAUAGCCGACCUGAGAGGGUGAUCGGCCACACUGGAACUGAGCCACGGUCCAGACUCCUACGGGAGGCAGCAUUAGGGAAUCUUCCGCAAUGGGCGAAAGCCUGACGGAGCAACGCCGCGUGAGUGAUGAAGGUCUUCGGAUCGUAAAACUCUGUUAUUAGGGAAGAACAUAUGUGUAAGUAACUGUGCACAUCUUGACGGUACCUAAUCAGAAAGCCACGGCUAACUACGUG
rnacentral:rRNA from 1 species